CGGGUUGGGAGAGGGGCAGCAGAAAGGCCCGAUGGAAGGAGCCUGGAGCCCUGACGAAUUUACAAGGCAGAGCUUCUGUGACUGCUCCAGCUUUCCCACUAGAGAGAAACACAUUUCCACCUUGACUAAGCCGCUGUCAUCUUGGGUCUGUCUUGGGAGCCAAACCUAUACUUAGAUACCACCUCACGGGGACUCUGUAAGGCUCUUCUGAGCAAACGUGUGCACAGCAUAAUACAUAGGUGUGCAUCCCGGAUGGUUAUUAGGUUGGAAUCAUGUUAUCGUUCCCCCUUCUUCAAAAUCCUUCUAGAGCUUCCACCUGUGCCAUCUGCCCCUCGCCCUCCGAACAGAGAUCACAUUCGCUGAUGAGGCCUCAAAGGUAAGCGACACUGUCCAGGAGGCUGCGACACAGGUCCUCGUGCUCUCUCACCGCCCUCCUGACGUCCCCUCCCAGAAUCCCCUCCAGAGCCUCGUCCUUGGAAGCCAAGUGUGAGAGCAGGGUCACCAGCUCCACCUUGUGGAUGGUCUCGUCCAGUAUGGACAUGACCCUCUUGGUCUCGAUGGUGCAUCUAAAUAUAGAAAGCGAGUUACACGGGUGAUGGAAAUAGUUGAGAGGCUAACCAGGGAAGGGGAAGCCACCCAGCCACCGUCAACGGCAGGAGGCCACCACAGAAGGAGCUGGUGGUGAGCUUGGAGGACGAGGGUCACCCAGGGGAAGCUGGAACCGCACCCAUUUCCUGUCCAGGCGGGGCUAUAGCCCCCCCAGGAGCUGUGGUCACCGCUGGAAACGCAGCCCAAAGCAGAGAGAAGAGGAAAUAAGGUGGUUUCUUCUUCCUCCCACCCUCCAAUCCGACACCAGCGCCUCCCAUUGGCCAAACCCCGGGGGAAGCCAGAGGACAAGACGAGUGGGCACAGCAGCCUGCAGGUGUCAGCAGCCCGAGACAGAGCAGCACAGGGACAGAGGGAAGAAUGCGGCUGCGAGCAAAUGGGACUGGGACCAGCACAGCACAUCUGCGCUGGUUUUUAAGUAUGGAUUUUAAAAGUCGGGGGGGGCGCGAACAGUGACUUUGAAACACAGUCUUUCGAACCUGCUUCGCUACGUGCGAUGUUGUAUCUCGGACUGGAUCCUGGAAGGGGAAACGGACAUUAGUAGGAAAAUGUAAAAUCAAACCAAGCCGAUGGUGUCGUUAACAGCAUCGUACCAAUGUUAGUUUCUUGGUUUUGACGGACAGACCCAUCACGGUUAUUGAAGAUAUUAACGUUGGGAGAGCUGAGUAAAAGGGCAUUUGGGAAUCCUGAACUAUCUUUGCAACUUUUCCGUAAAUCUACGGUCAUUACGAAAUAAAAAGUUGAAAAAACUCUGA